GAAUUCUGACCACAUAAACAGACAUAAAUUACCUAGCCUGGCUUGGUCCUAACAAGUUCUGUAGGUAGAAAAGAAUGGCAUUGGAGAACUGCUGAUGUGGUUGGGUUAUCUGUCAUUGCACUGUACUGCUGGCCUCACAUGCUACAGAUGAGAUUCUGGGGUGUCUGAAGGGAGCCUGAAGUGAUGGGUAGGUCUCAUCUCCACAAUAAUGGACUGUCAUUCAAAGAAGAAUCACUCAGCACUGGCAACAAAAAUAAUCCAUUAACCUAUAUCUUCCUGGCCUCCUAAAGAAACUCUCCCCUCAAAAAAUGUCCCAGCUGAAGUUGUUGCCAUACUAGCUCUGGAAUGCAUCGAUAUCAUCACUCAUUUUCUCAUUUCAGCCCCCUACCCUUCUUUACAAGCUAACUGAUACAACCAUUCGGCCUCUCCAAAUCCCUGCAAUUUUUCUCUACAUGUGGGAACUCAGCCAUGGGAACUUAGAUGGCUUCACCAUCCUACGCUUUGGGGUCCUAAUCUGUAAAAUGAAAAGGAUACUAGCAUCUAUCCCAUAGGGUAGUCGGAUGUGAGGAUUGAGACACAGUAAGAGAAAGUGUUUAUUACACUACCAGGAAAGUCCUCAAUUAAAGUGCAGUACGAUUGUUAUCGUUCAUUGAUGCUAAUUGAUCAUAAAUAGAGUAAUUAUAUGCCAAGUUUGCGUGUGACAUUUCAGCUUUAAACUUGUGGUCUCAACUUAGUUAUCAAUAGCAUCCCUUUUCCUUCACAAAAUGUUCCCACACUCUACCUUAACGAUAAGGAACAAGACAAGAAGGCAAUUGUUAGAACUCAGUCAUCAUAUUAGUAUAGGCAGAAAAGAUGAUUUACAGUAAAACAUCUGCCUCAGCUUGUUAAAUCCUGACUGCCUAAGGAACAGGGUUGGUGCUAGAACCAGUGACACGACUGAGUUUCUGCAACAAGCCAAGGGUAUCAAAAAGCCAUGAGUAUAUGACUUCAGAGAGAUGUGAUAUUUUUCGUCUCCUUGAACAUUUUUUUCUUCACCCUCCCUAAUCCAGAGAGAAAGUGGGGAUU
rnacentral:lncRNA from 10 species